GUAGGUGAACCUGCGGAAGGAUCAUUAAUAGAUAGGGCCGUGCCAGCGAGAGCUGACCGGUUCAAUCCAUUCAAACCACCGUGAACUCUCCUAGUUUCUUCCGUGGGGCUGCGUCUCCGGACGCCCGACUGCCAACGCGGUCGGUGUACCCGCGGCAAGACUAUUACCCAACUCUUUGUUAUGUGUGCCUGUCUGAACAAACAAGUUAAUUCUUAAAACUUUCAACAACGGAUCUCUUGGUUCUC
rnacentral:misc_RNA from 1 species